AGUUAGAGAUCUAUAGUUAUGAUAGCGGCACGGAAAGAAAUUGAGAUGUUGAAACCUAUCGACAAACUUAUCGAAAGGAUAAGAGAGAAUUAUCAGGCCGCAGCAAAA
rfam:Orientia tsutsugamushi str. TT144 ut144.contig.112_1, whole genome shotgun sequence.